UGGCUCAGUGGGUAAGAGCACUAGCUGUUCUUCUAGAAGACCUGGGUUCAAUUCCCAG
rnacentral:tRNA from 1 species